UACGUAGGGGGCAAGCGUUGUCCGGAAUCAUUGGGCGUAAAGAGCGCGUAGGCGGCCCUGUAAGUCCGCUGUGAAAGUCAAGGGCUCAACCCUUGGAUGCCGGUGGAUACUGCAGGGCUAGAGUCCGGAAGAGGCGAGUGGAAUUCCUGGUGUAGCGGUGAAAUGCGUAGAUAUCUGGAGGAACACCGGUGGCGAAGGCGGCAUCCUGGACCGACACUGACGCUGAGGCGCGAAAGCCAGGGGAGCAAACGGG
rnacentral:rRNA from 1 species